AUACGGAGGGUGCAAGCGUUAUCCGGAUUUACUGGGUUUAAAGGGUGCGUAGGCGGGAUAAUAAGUCAGUGGUGAAAGCCUGCAGCUUAACUGUAGAAUUGCCAUUGAUACUGUUAUUCUUGAGUAUAGUUGAGGUGGGCGGAAUGUGGCAUGUAGCGGUGAAAUGCUUAGAUAUGCCACAGAACACCGAUUGCGAAGGCAGCUCACUAAACUAUUACUGACGCUGAGGCACGAAAGCGUGGGGAGCGAACAGAAUUAGAAACCCCGGUAGUCC
rnacentral:rRNA from 1 species